rnacentral:rRNA from 1 species
UACGUAGGGUGCGAGCGUUAAUCGGAAUUACUGGGCGUAAAGCGUGCGCAGGCGGUCUGUUAAGACCGAUGUGAAAUCCCCGGGCUUAACCUGGGAACUGCAUUGGUGACUGGCAGGCUUUGAGUGUGGCAGAGGGGGGGUAGAAUUCCACGUGUAGCAGUGAAAUGCGUAGAUAUGUGGAGGAAUACCGAUGGCGAAGGCAGCCCCCCUGGGGAUAACACUGACGCUCAUGCACGAAAGCGUGGGGAGCAAACAGG